UAUGGCUGGUGUUUGAGAAUUAUAUGUUGUUGUUAUAGCUAAAUUCCUUUUUCCCUGGGGGACCUGCAGAAGAGGCUCUACCUAAUGAUUAUAACCUGUGAUCCCAGUUUGUGCCGUGUAGAUGGCUUAAGAAGCUUGUAGAUCUCAGUCUUCCCAUUAUUUGGAUAAAGCAGAUAAAUAAGAGCUCAAUCUUAAAGCAAUACCUCCAGGAUCAGAGGGUUUGAUGACCUUUCCUUUGACUCCUGUUGGACUCUGAUGGCCAGUAAAAAAAAUGCACAAGCCACUCAGCCACAUAAAGGAGAUGCUUAAAUUCAGACAGGCCACGUCAU